AUGGUAGGAUAGAGGCCUACCAUGGUGGUAACGGGUAACGGGGUGUUAGGGCACGACACCGGAGAGGGAGCCUGAGAAACGGCUACCACAUCCAAGGAAGGCAGCAGGCGCGCAAAUUACCCAAUCCCGACACGGGGAGGUAGUGACAAUAAAUAACAAUACAGGGCUCUUUUGGGUCUUGUAAUUGGAAUGAGUACAAUUUAAAUCUCUUAACGAGGAACAAUUGGAGGGCAAGUCUGGUGCCAGCAGCCGCGGUAAUUCCAGCUCCAAUAGCGUAUAUUAAAGUUGUUGCAGUUAAAAAGCUCGUAGUUGAAUUUCGGGAUCAAUAUGUCGGUCGUGCCUUCGGUACGUACUGGUAUCAUUGGUCUCUCCUUUCUGACGAACCAUGAUGUCAUUAAUUUGGUGUUAUGGGGAGUUAGGACUGUUACUUUGAAAAAAUUAGAGUGUUUAAAGCAGGCUUUAGCUUGAAUACAUUAGCAUGGAAUAAUGAAAUAGGACGUUCGAACCUAUUUUGUUGGUUUCUAGGAUCAACGUAAUGAUUAAUAGGGAUAGUUGGGGGCAUUAGUAUUCAAUUGUCAGAGGUGAAAUUCUUGGAUUUAUUGAAGACUAACUACUGCGAAAGCAUUUGCCAAGGAUGUUUUCAUUAAUCAAGAACGAAAGUUAGGGGAUCGAAGACGAUCAGAUACCGUCGUAGUCUUAACCAUAAACUAUGCCGACUAGGGAUCGGAUGAUGUUAAUUUUUUAAUGACUCAUUCGGCGCCUUACGGGAAACCAAAGUGUUUGGG
rnacentral:rRNA from 1 species